UCCCCUUCAAGGUCAUGGUAGGGACUGAAGAGGCUAACACAGCCAGGUGAAGGAGCUCUCCAAAAACCCAGAAAGGAGACUGUACACCUCCUCUUUGGAUCCUGUCUGGAGUCAUAGAU